CAAUAGCGUAUAUUAAAGUUGUUGCAGUUAAAAAGCUCGUAGUUGGAUUUCGGGGCAGCCUGGCUGGUCCGCCGCAAGGCGAGUACUGGUCAGCCGCCCUUCCUCUCGAAAGCCCCGACUGCUCUUCGUUGCAGUGGUCGGGUAGUUCGGGACGUUUACUUUGAAAAAAUUAGAGUGUUCAAGGCAGGCCUACGCCUGAAUACAUUAGCAUGGAAUAAUGGAAGAGGACCUCGGUCCUAUUUUGUUGGUUUCCGGGGCCGAAGUAAUGAUUAAGAGGGACAGUUGGGGGCAUUCGUAUUUAAUUGUCAGAGGUGAAAUUCUCGGAUUUAUGAAAGACGAACAACUGCGAAAGCAUUUGCCAAGGAUGUUUUCAUUAA
rnacentral:rRNA from 1 species